rnacentral:tRNA from 1 species
AAUCAAUUAGUUGGUUGAUUCGACUCAUAAUCGAUUGGUCACUGGUUCAAGUCCAGUAGGGGCCACCA